rnacentral:snRNA from 1 species
GUGCUUGCUUUAGCAACACAUAUGAGACAGAGAUUAGCAAGACUCCUCAGCCAAGAUGACAUUCAAAUUCAUGAAGCAUUCCAUAUUUUU